AUUGAACGCUGGCGGCAGGCCUAACACAUGCAAGUCGAGCGGGGUUUUCGGACCUAGCGGCGGACGGGUGAGUAAUGCGUAGGAAGCUGCCCGAUAGAGGGGGAUACCAGUUGGAAACGACUGUUAAUACCGCAUAAUGUCUACGGACCAAAGUGUGGGACCUUCGGGCCACAUGCUAUCGGAUGCGCCUACGUGGGAUUAGCUAGUUGGUGAGGUAAUGGCUCACAAAGGCGACGAUCUCUAGCUGGUUUGAGAGGAUGAUCAGCCACACUGGAACUGAGGCACGGUCCAGACUCCUACGGGAGGCAGCAGUGGGGAAUAUUGGACAAUGGGCGCAAGCCUGAUCCAGCCAUGCCGCGUGUGUGAAGAAGGCCUUCGGGUUGUAAAGCACUUUCAGCGAGGAGGAAGGGUGGUGUGUUAAUAGCACACACCUUUGACGUUACUCGCAGAAGAAGCACCGGCUAACUCUGUGCCAGCCGCCGCCGUAACAC
rnacentral:rRNA from 1 species